rnacentral:misc_RNA from 1 species
GAUGAAGAACGUAGCGAAAUGCGAUAGGUAGUGUGAAUUGCAGAUGUAACGUGAAUCAUCGAAUCUUUGAACGCAAAUUGCACUCUCUGGUAUUCCGGGGAGUAUGCCUGUUUGAGGGUCGCCAAAUCAACAUCGAAAUUCAUUUGCUUUUGUAAAUGUUUAUCGGAUUUGAGCCGUCUUUUUAUUUUUUUUAAAGUGGCUUAAAAUGUAUUUUUUUGGUAUCGAAAAACGUUAUUUUACGAUCCAAUCGAUCAAAAAACAAACGUUUCGAAUGCCGUCUUUUAAUGUAAUACGUUUGACUGUGUCAUACAAUCAUGGUUUCAUUCGUAUACGAGUUUAAUUUUUGACCUCAAAUCAGGUAAGAACACCCGCUGAACUUAAGCAUAUCAAUAAGCGGAGGA